rnacentral:rRNA from 1 species
CCUACGGGUGGCAGCAGUGGGGAAUAUUGGACAACGGGCGAAAGCCUGAUCCAGCCAUGCCGCGUGUGUGAAGAAGGCCUUCGGGUUGUAAAGCACUUUCAGUGGGGAAGAAAGCCUUGGGGCUAAUACCCUCGAGGAAGGACAUCACCCACAGAAGAAGCACCGGCUAACUCCGUGCCAGCAGCCGCGGUAAUACGGAGGGUGCGAGCGUUAAUCGGAAUUACUGGGCGUAAAGCGCGCGUAGGCGGUCUGAUAAGCCGGUUGUGAAAGCCCCGGGCUCAACCUGGGAACGGCAUCCGGGACUGUCAGGCUAGAGUGCAGGAGAGGAAGGUAGAAUUCCCGGUGUAGCGGUGAAAUGCGUAGAGAUCGGGAGGAAUACCAGUGGCGAAGGCGGCCUUCUGGACUGACACUGACGCUGAGGUGCGAAAGCGUGGGUAGCAAACAGGAUUAGAUACCCCAGUAGUC